rnacentral:rRNA from 1 species
CUACGGGAGGCUGCAGUGAGGAAUAUUGCGCAAUGGACGAAAGUCUGACGCAGCCAUGCCGCGUGCAGGAUGACGGCGCUAUGCGUUGUAAACUGCUUUUAUAUGCCAAGAAACCUUCGGACGUGUCCGAAGCUGACGGUAGCAUAUGAAUAAGCACCGGCUAACUCCGUGCCAGCAGCCGCGGUAAUACGGAGGGUGCAAGCGUUAUCCGGAUUUAUUGGGUUUAAAGGGUCCGUAGGCGGAUCAUUAAGUCAGUGGUGAAAGCCGGCAGCUCAACUGGCGAACUGCCAUUGAUACUGGUGAUCUUGAAUACGGUUGAAGUUGACGGAAUAGGUCAUGUAGCGGUGAAAUGCUUAGAUAUGACCUAGAACACCGAUUGCGAAGGCAGCCAACUAAGCCGUUAUUGACGCUGAGGGACGAAAGCGUGGGGAGCGAAUAGGAUUAGAUACCCUUGUAGUC